rnacentral:tRNA from 1 species
GCGAGUGUCGUAUAGUGGUAAUACCGCAGCUUUCCAAGCUGCUGACAGGGGUUCGAUUCCCCUCACUCGCUCCA